rnacentral:tRNA from 1 species
GGAGAGAUGGCCGAGUGGUUGAAGGCGCUCCCCUGCUAAGGGAGUAUGGGGCUAUAAACCUCAUCGAGGGUUCGAAUCCCUCUCUCUCCGCCA